UAGUGACUUACAUGAAAAACAAAUUACAGCAUAUUCUUGAAAAAAAUUAUAUAAUCACAGGGGCGCUUGGAUCAAAGUCUACAUUAAUCAAAGAGAGAAGAAGUAAGGGAUUGAGCAGAAAGACGUCACUGCUUACCCUAAACAAGCCUCUCUCUCCAUCCUUGUCCACUACGUCUACCAACAACGUAACCUUUUUCUUAACUUUAUACUAAUUUUAUACCAAACACACUUUCUUUUUUUUUUUUUUUUUUGAGCAACACCAAACACACUUUCUUUGUUCCGGCUCUAACUAAUUGAUUUUUUUCCAACUUUACAACAAAUCACUGACUGAGAUUCAGACAAUCACCGAGCACAAAAUCAGACAAGAUCAGAUCCUGCUGACUCAUCAUCAUCAUAAAAAUUAUUCAUCAAUAUCAUCACCACUGCAAUAAGAAACUAAAAGUACAAAUUAAAUAAUUAAACGUAGAGACAAACCACGUGUUUAAGAUGAAUGAUAUUCCGGAAAAGAGAAGAAAGCGUACGUAAAGAGCUCAGAGUUAGUAGUGAAGAAAACAUGGAGAAGAUAAUUCACAAAGAAGUCGAAAAAAGAGACAAGAAAUGGCUUCUUUUUACACGUCUCUUCGCUCUCUUCUCCCUCUCGAGUUCAUCCAGGACAUAGUUCCAAGAGAGAUGACCUUAUGUUAUUGUCUGGACAAGCUUUGGAAGUAGAAAUGCACAAGGUAGGAAUGAAUAUCGAAUUAUGUCCUGAUUCGUCCGGUUUUUUUUAUUGGAAGAAGUUCAGGACCGAAUUCCAUAAUCUGUUUGGGCCAUUGGAUAAGAGUCGGUUGUUAAAUCUUCCCCCGAAGCUGUUGAGACUCGACUUGGUAUCUCAACCGUUAGUGCAUAGUGCCUUUUCAGUAGAGGUAGCAACUCCGGAUCGGCGUAGAGGUCGUCUUUAGCGUUCUACAAACGCCGUUGUAAAGCGUGCUGCGAGUUCUCUGUGAACAUGGUCUUUAUGUUCUUGGCUGCAUCUCCUCCAAUGUGAAUGAUAUACUCAUUCACACUUUACAGGCUGAGGUCAGAUAUCUGGAUUUAAUUGACCUCGCAGACCUCAAAGAUACACUUAUGAUGCUUAGAGCAUCUUCAUGCCCACUCCAUAAUUUACUCCGUUUAUAGAGUAAAUAGAGUGAGAAAUGGAGUAGUGCAUAAAAAAUAAAUGCAUUACUCUAUAAAUGGAGUAAUGCCUUUAUUUUUUGUUCAUUACUUCAUUUUCCACUCCAUUUACUCUAUAAAUGGAAUAAAUUAUGGAGUGGGGAUGGAGAUGCUCUUAUCCUAAUGUACUAAUUGUUGAAAAAAGAUUUAUUGGGAUCAGCAUAUUUCAGUAUUUUAAUCUAGGAUUUUUCGAGAAAGAGUCUGAGACGGAUCAGAAUGUACUUCAAAAUUUAAGAUAUUAGUUAACAAAAAAUCUAAGUUAUUACAAGCCUUUUCAAGACUAAAUCAUAAAGACAUCCCGGCAUAGUAUUUCUGUUUUGGGGGGUAAAUAUCUGAGAUCAAUUAAAAAUUUAAGAGGACAUAUUUUUAAAAAAUUGUCAUGUUUUUAUAGACCCAAUCUCUAUUAUUAAAAUAGAAAUACAUUUAGAAAAUAUCCCUAAAUUUUGUAGUUAUUUACAUUC